AUGAAAAAUACAUGCUUCUCAACCUGUCUGUCGAUUGCAACGGCAUAAUAAUAUUUACUGAUAUGUUCAGUUUUAACAGGCAGAUUGCAGAUUGAAACAUGGAAUGUUUAGCUAUAUCUGUUAGUUUAAACAACCAUACCUCUGAAACUGAUUGUGUUUCUUUCUAAUUGCUGGCAGGUUAAUUGGAAGAUAUGUCAGCAUGUCCUUGUGCCAUUAUAGUUAUAGGACCCAUCAGUCAAUAGAUAUUCUGAUAGUAUUUUUUAUGACAUUGUUAGUUCUUUGUUUUAUGCUCCAAUACUGACUGUGUAUGUUUAAUGUUGCU
rnacentral:lncRNA from 1 species